rnacentral:rRNA from 1 species
CGCCCUUAGGUUUUAGGUAUUAGGGGUUGGGCCUGCCCGGUGGUAAUCUUAACGGCCGCAGUUAGUAGCUGUGCUAAGGUAGCGUAAUAAGUUGUCCUUUAAAUGAGGAAAGGAAUGAAUGGUUUGACGUAAGAAUUUCUGUCUCUAAGAGAUGAUUAGAAGUUUUCUUCUCAGUGAAAAGUCUGAGAAAAAAUUAAAAGACGAGAAGACCCUUUUGAGCUUAACUUACCAUGUUAUAUGAAAUUUGGGAAAAUUUGGUUGGGGCAACCAGGGAGCAAGAUUAACCUCCUUUAUUGGUAUUUAGAUCCAGAAUUUUUGAAAAAAGAAAAAGCUACCAUAGGGAUAACAGCGUUAUCUUCCUUGAGAGAACAAAUUGAAGGGAGGGUUUGCGACCUCGAUGUUGAAUUAAAGUUUCCGUUUGGCGCAGAAGCUUUUAUGGUAAGACUGUUCGUCUUUUAAAGCUUU